AACUAUGUAAAAGUCCAACAGAUUAAAACUAAAGGCAUUUACAUUGCAGUCUAUAACUACUUCAAAGAUUCCAAUUAGAAAUUACAAGGGUCCUUUUCUCUCUGUGCUCACACAAAAUAUUGGGAAGAUAUUAAAAAACCUUCUUAAGGUAGACUCGGCAUGAAUGAAAACAGAAAAUGGUGAAAUGGGAAUAAUUCACAGUUAAACUGAGAAGCCACAAUGAAAGGACAGAUCACUUACACAGAGGAUUAAAGAUCAUUGUUCUUAAAGCAAAAACCAAAGGGAAUUGAGAAAAUGCAUGAGUUAAGCCAAAAACUUGUCAUAUCCUGCUGAACAAGAUCAAAGACGAGCUCAGGUUAACAGCAUAUGGAUUAGUGAGAAAUGGUACAAAUAACCAAACUUUAUAUAUCCCCAAACCUUCUGACUAGGCACCUGGUAGCACAGCACAGAGCAGGAAUGGUGAGGUGAGCUACCGGGGUAAGAAAGAGGCAAGACUGAGGACAGCACCUCAAAUCAAUUUAGACAGCAGGCUAUCAGUAGCAACCACAGAAAGAUAACUGAGCUUUGCAGAGAGGAGGGGGGGUGCUGAUUCUGCUCAAGUGAUCAAGCACAGUUUCACUGAAUCUCCACUUUGUAAAAAUGCAACAAUUUAAUAAGAAUUAAGCAGCCCUGUAACUCAUAGUGUGGUGAAGCAGUUUGAGAUAAGAGGUGGCUCUCCAUAUUCUGUUAGUUGAAGACAGGGUUUUUGUUUAGCAUUUCUGAGAAACAGCAACAACAAAACUCAAACAGUAUAAUAAACCUAUUGAGUUUUAUAAACUGGUUGUUUGGAGGAAGCUCCACCAGAUGUGAAAAUCAUGGCUACUGCAGAGGAAGACUGUAGACUGAGGAGACCAGAAAGAACUUGGCAGUCUGAGGAACAUGGUGUAGAGUUUAAUAGGACCAAGCUACAGGAGUACCUUGAGAUCUUCCUUCUUCUUUGACUCAUGGUAAUUGACACACUGUAAGGUCUUACAUCAAAUCAGCACACAUCAGAGGACAAAGGGGCCAUAACCUAUCUGCAAAUUGAAACAGCAGCAGCAAGGUCUAAAACAGAGAUUUUGAAAAAGCCCAGAGGUAUCUGGA